UUGUUGUAGCUAGCUAGCAAGAUAGUCUACUAGUAGUAAAAUUCAUGUUCAACUGGUCACUAAGGGCGUGUCCUGUAUAUUUUAAGAAAAUGGUUUCACAAUAUAAUUUUACAAAAUGAAAAUGAGAGAUUGAAUUGCAAGUUUUUUAAAAUCCUAAAAUGCAUCCGGCAGAAGUAUUGCAAAAACAAAAUCUGUAGUCUUCUUCUUUCCUCUUGUUAAAAUAAAAAAAAUAAAAAAAACAACCUUCUUUCCACAUAUAUUUCUUGUUGAACCAUGUGGAAAGAUCGACUGUUUUCCAUUGAAAUUAUUCGAGUUCGCAAGUAAAUUCUCUCUUGGUUAUAAAAAUGUUGAAAGAACAUAGCCAAACCCCCACUUUUGCUCAAGAGAUUGGAGAAGAGAUCAAAUAGCAUACAUCUGAAUAAUUAUUCUUCAAUCUCCUCGGUUCAAUUAGUCUGACUACCAAAGCUCCCAGACUACAACCAUCAUCGAUCUGAAGUUCUGAACCAGAUCUGAUCGACCACAUCCUGAUCAAAUCAAAACUUCGACCAAUCCUUUCUCCUCGUGAAACUUUAAUGAAAAAAAAAGUGGUCAUGAAGAGUGUUGCAUUGUAAUCUGCAGACUCAAAUACCCAAUGAAGAAGAUGAUGUAUAUGGUCAUCAAGAAAUGGAAUUCGACGGAGCUGCCUGGCCCCAAAGGGGUGGUGCGCCCAAUUUGAAGAACACAAGGAAUUAUUAAAAAAUAAUAAUAAUAAAAUAAAUCCUUUUGUUUUUUAUUUUUUGAAGAAGAAUUUACAAUAAAAAAAAGAAUAAAGGGUAAAUAAUCAUUUUACAACAAAAACAUGUUUUCCGUCGAUCUAUUUAACGGAGCUAACAGAUUCAAAUAUCAUUCUUCAUUGGACGUAAGAACGUGAGAUACCCUUCUCUAAUCACAGGAGUUUUUGUAAUUUCUUUCUUUUUAUUUUAAUUUAUUGGUCUUACUAUUUGAUCUAAUUACAUAAAGAUCAAACAGAGAACUAAUUAUGUAAGCUUGACAUGUGAACUAAUUAUAAUUGUUUAUGCAAUAAAAGUAACAUUAGCACGACGUACCAGGGAAUUAAAGAAGAAGAUAAAAGCUUUAGCUCGAGCAAUAAAACUUAAACAAUCAAUAACUAUGAGGAUGUACCAAAUAUAUAAGCCAUAAUUAACAAGUUAUAUUAGAUAAAUGAGGAACGGUGAUCAAUAAAGAUAUAUUAAGGAGAUGGUAAAAGUGUUCUCUAUAUAUUCACAGUUGAUCUUACAUGUUCAAAAUCUUCCUUCCACAUUGACAGAAACUAUACCUAUAUUUAUAUGCAUUGAUGCCCCCGUAUAAUGAUCAGCUCGAUCGCCGGCCUCGACCGCAGUUUGGAGCCAUGGCCGGGCAAGGAGACAAAGAUUAGAGAUGAGUACCUGUACUUCCAUAUACUUCCCUGGCUAAGAGUUGAGGAGCUUGCAGAGAAUAGAUUGAGGUGCCCAUCGAGCAACAGGAAGAACAGCAAACACAGAUUACCAGCAACAAGCUAGCCAUAUGGUUUCCUUACAUUUCUGGCUCCUGCUCUGUUGAUUUUGUUGUGCUAUUUAUACUAAAC
rnacentral:lncRNA from 1 species